UGAAGCAGUUGAGCCUCACACCCUCUGUUCCGCCAGGUAUGGCUGCAACGCUCCCUUCAUCCGCCGCAGCAUCGCCGCUGCUGCUCCACUGCAACGCCGCCCCUUCCGUCUCUUUCCGCCACCGCAGGCGUUGGCAGCGGCCGACUGCCACACGGCACGACGGCCGCGGCGCGCAGCAGCUGCCGCUGCCGGUCGCGCGGUGGCUGCCGGCAGCAGCGCCUCCGGGAGCCAAUGGCGCGUGCGGAGCCAUUGCGGCGUCGGGGCCAGGGGCGGCGGCUGGGAAGGCGCCGUACAGGGGCAGCGAGGGGCAAGGGUCGCUGUGGAGGGUCUUCCUCGCCACCGCGGUGGUCGUAUGCGGCUCCUUCGAGUUCGGCACCUGUGUGGGGUAUUCUGCGCCGGCUCAAGCUGGAAUUGUGAGCGACAUUGGGCUGUCCAACUCCGAGUAUGGUUUCUUUGGAUCUGUCUUGACAAUUGGAGCAAUGAUUGGUGCUGUGACUAGCGGUCGCCUGGCAGACAUUCUUGGACGCAAAAUGACCAUGCGAUUUGCAGCAGUUGUAGGCAUUUUUGGCUGGCUUACUGUAUAUUUUGCCAAGGAUGCUAUCAUGCUCUAUGCUGGAAGAGUUUUGCUGGGAUAUUGUACUGGAGUUCUUUCCUAUGUGGUGCCUGUGUUUAUAUCUGAAAUAGCACCAAAGGGUAUCCGAGGAGGCCUUGCAACCUCAAACCAGUUAUUCAUCUGUUCAGGGUGUUCAGCUGCUUACAUUAUUGGAGCACUUGUUUCAUGGCGCUCUUUGGUUCUAGUAGGAUUAGUACCUUGUGCUGUCCUACUUCUGGGGCUUUUCUUCAUUCCAGAGUCUCCAAGGUGGCUGGCCAACAUAGGGAAAGAGAGAGAAUUCCAUGCUUCAUUACAGGAGUUUAGGGGGGAAGAUUCUGACAUUUCUGAAGAGGCUACUGAGAUCAAAGACUAUAUAGAAUCAAUUCGCCGAUUGCCUAAGGCCAGGUUUCAAGAUUUAUUUCAGAGCAAAAAUAUGUAUGCAGUCACGGUGGGUGUUGGCCUGAUGAUUUUUCAGCAACUGGGAGGAAUAAACGCCUUAGGUUUCUAUACAAGCUAUAUUUUUUCCUCUGCAGGGUUUUCUGGAAAAAUUGGGACCACCUUGAUUGGCGUUAUUCAGAUUCCAAUCACAUUCUUUGGGGCCCUUCUGAUGGAUAGGAGUGGAAGAAGAGCCCUUCUUUUGGUCUCUUCAUCUGGAACAUUUCUUGGGUGCUUUCUGACUGGACUAUCAUUCUAUUUUAAGGCACAAGGACUGUGCACACAGCUGGUUCCUACUUUGGCUCUUUGUGGCAUACUGGUAUACUAUGCGGCGUACUCAGUUGGAAUGGGCCCAGUUCCUUGGGUUAUCAUGUCCGAGAUAUUCUCGAUCGACAUGAAAGCAAUAGCUGGAGGGUUCGUAACCCUGGCCAGUUGGAUUGGUUCCUUUGCGAUAUCAUACUCGUUCAACUUCCUCAUGGAUUGGAACCCCGCAGGUACAUUCUUUCUGUUCUCUGCAGCAAGUUUGGUCACUGUGCUGUUCGUGGCAAAGCUAGUACCAGAAACUAAAGGAAGAACACUAGAAGAGAUCCAAACGUUGCUCAAAGCCACAUGAGUGGGAGUGGCUAGCAUUCGCUCAGUAGCCAACGACCUGACUGGUGGUGACGAGAUGGCAUUCGGACGGGAGCUGCCCGACGACCUCACCGCCGACGUCCUGCGCCGCCUCCCGCCACGCAACCUGGCCGUCUCCCGGUGCGUCUGCCGGUGGUGGCGCGACCUCGUCGACGCCCGCCGGCUGCUGCGCGCGGACCUGCUCCCACGCUCCGUGGGCGGCAUCUUCAUGCACUACUGCGCGCUCUACACCCCGGAGUUCCUGGCCCGCCCCACGACGGGACGACGACCCUCCGUCUCCGGAUCCGGCGCCCUGGACCAAGACAGAUGGGGAGGAGGAGGAGGAGGAGGAGGAAGAAGAAGAAGAAGAAGAAGAAGAAUAAGGCCUUUCACCAGGGCCAAAUCAAAUGCCUCGUGUACGAUCCCACCGUGUCACCGCAUUACGAGGUGUUCUUCAUCGGUUCCGAUCAGCAGCAGCUCAAGGUGCUAGCAUUUGUAUACUCAUCAGUGACCGGGCGCUGGGAGGAGAGGCUCUUCGUUCCGGAAGGCGGGGAAGGCGGCCGUGUGGUAGAAGAGGCCAUUGCUGACACCAGGUUGUUUCUUCCGGAAGGCCGUGCCAGUGUGGCAGCAGCGGACAUUGCUGACGCCAAGGUCUACUGGCGAGGAGCACUCUACCUUCCCUACCAAAAUGGUUUUAUGAGGAUAUCCAUCUCAAAUGCAAAUUACAGGCUGAUUCCAAUGCCAGCAGGCGUUGAAUUCAGAUCUUAUUUAUGCCAUACGUUGGGAAGAUCAGAGAAGGGCGUGUAUUGUGCAUCUGAGUAUGACUGGCAUGGGCUUCAAAUUUUCUUCCUCAACGAAUCAUGUGGCCAACAAGCAGUGUGGGAACUGAAGCAUAGUGUUGAUUUCAAUUUUCACGACCUUUUCGCGUAAGCUGGGUGCACUUAACGCCCACAGUGAUCAACAAAAUGGGCCCUGGAUGUUACAGGAGAUCAACUACUGCAAAUAUCAGUAUCGGUGUUAUGGCAAUGAUAAGCAUAAAGAGGUAGUGGAAGACAAGUUUGAAUGGAACUCAGACGAUGACAAUGUUCUCAGCGCUGAAGAUACGGUUGAUGGGCACUACACAGGAUCUAUGUCAUUUCUCGGGUUUCAUCCUUACAAGGAGAUUGUCUACCUGAAGGCAGAUUUGUGGAGAGCGGUAGCAUAUCACUGGAAUACCUCAAAAUUUCAGGACUUGGGCAACAUAUGUCCAAAAGAAUACCAUGAGAUCUCUGGCCGUUUUGCUGGAAUUGAGACUUCUUUCGUCUACACACCAUGCUGGAUGGAAGGAGGAUUUCCGGAAGUAGAAAAAAAACCGUAAAAAAUCUAAGUUUUGGUCCAUUAUUUUGUAUAAUAAAACUAAAUACCAUACAAAAAUUUUAGAAAAAAAAGUAAUUAUUCUCCAUUUUGGAUUUUGGCUUCAAGAGGCAAAAAAAAAGGCCCAAAGAGCCUCAAGAGACCAUAAUGAGGACAAUAAAUUCUGUAUUUUAGAUGGAACUAACCCUGAACAUUUUGACAUUUUGCA